UACGAGGGGGGCAAGCGUUGUUCGGAAUUAUUGGGCGUAAAGGGUGCGUAGGUGGUUCGGCAAGUCUUGUGUGAAAUCUUCAGGCUCAACUUGAAGUCUGCACAAGAAACUGCCGGGCUUGAGUAUGGGAGAGGUGAGUGGAAUUUCCGGUGUAGCGGUGAAAUGCGUAGAUAUCGGAAGGAACACCUGUGGCGAAAGCGGCUCACUGGACCAUUACUGACACUGAGGCACGAAAGCUAGG
rnacentral:rRNA from 1 species